rnacentral:tRNA from 1 species
GGGGUUGUGGCUCAGCGGUAGAGCACUUGCCUAGACGUGUGAGUCCCUGUGUUCGAUCCUCAGCACUACA